rnacentral:lncRNA from 1 species
GUUGCAAAGAUUAGGAAACAAAGAGUGGAGAGGAGCCAAGCCAGAUAUCCUCUCAAAAUCUGACGGUUUCUGUUCUCUAGUUUGAGAGUACACAACCAGAAAGCAUCCAAUUCUUUGCACAUAUCUUUCCAAAUUGGUGAAGCUCUGGUUACCUUACAAACUCUGAUACCAAACCUUCUUCUAGGGUAGUAGGCAGACCUCACCAACUUCUUCAAAUCCGCAUCC